rnacentral:lncRNA from 1 species
GUAGCUUUACGGUUUUAAAAUUAAAAAUCACCCUAUUAGACUACUUUUAAAAAUUAUCUCAUUUUUAUGGCACCAAACACUUUCAAAAAAAUUAUAGGAUAAUAAAAAAUAUUCCUCACAUCACAUUCAGUAAUUUAUCAAAUUAUUUUCUAGCAUAAGUUAGAUAGAGAAUUAUGAAGAAUGGGAAUUUUGGGAAAGUUUAGAAGAACCUCAUGAUUCUCUACGUAUCUUAUGAUAGAAAAAUAUUUUUUUAACCGAAGUCAGUAGGGGAAGCCCAAC